rfam:Paracoccidioides brasiliensis Pb18 unplaced genomic scaffold supercont2.4, whole genome shotgun sequence.
UGAGAAAACCUUUGAUUAGCUCUAGAUCAGCAGCUGCUUUUAUGCGGCAGUGACCGAUUCAAUCUGCAUGUAUUAGCUGAUAU